UAGAGUUUGAUCCUGGCUCAGAUUGAACGCUGGCGGCAGGCCUAACACAUGCAAGUCGAGCGGAUGAGAGGAGCUUGCUCCUUAAUUCAGCGGCGGACGGGUGAGUAAUGCCUAGGAAUCUGCCUGGUAGUGGGGGACAACGUUUCGAAAGGAACGCUAAUACCGCAUACGUCCUACGGGAGAAAGCAGGGGACCUUCGGGCCUUGCGCUAUCAGAUGAGCCUAGGUCGGAUUAGCUAGUUGGUGAGGUAAUGGCUCACCAAGGCGACGAUCCGUAACUGGUCUGAGAGGAUGAUCAGUCACACUGGAACUGAGACACGGUCCAGACUCCUACGGGAGGCAGCAGUGGGGAAUAUUGGACAAUGGGCGAAAGCCUGAUCCAGCCAUGCCGCGUGUGUGAAGAAGGUCUUCGGAUUGUAAAGCACUUUAAGUUGGGAGGAAGGGCAGUAAAUUAAUACUUUGCUGUUUUGACGUUACCGACAGAAUAAGCACCGGCUAACUCUGUGCCAGCAGCCGCGGUAAUACAGAGGGUGCAAGCGUUAAUCGGAAUUACUGGGCGUAAAGCGCGCGUAGGUGGUUCGUUAAGUUGGAUGUGAAAUCCCCGGGCUCAACCUGGGAACUGCAUUCAAAACUGUCGAGCUAGAGUAUGGUAGAGGGUGGUGGAAUUUCCUGUGUAGCGGUGAAAUGCGUAGAUAUAGGAAGGAACACCAGUGGCGAAGGCGACCACCUGG
rnacentral:rRNA from 1 species